rnacentral:lncRNA from 1 species
ACGGCAGUUGCUAGCGGCGCACGCGGUGUAUACUUAAUGACACCAGAUAUUUCUGCAAAAUGGGCGGUCAGUCGGUCAGCUAUAGACGGGAAAGAGUACCGUACUUUCAUUCAGUCAACUUUCGGAGGUCGAACGAAUAAAACGCGUUAAUCUCAGAUUGAUGGAUCCAUUCGCAGUGUUUCUCAUAGCCACUGGCUGUGUUUUGCUGUUACCUUUCUCCUUUUGUCUGGCGUGUAUGUGCUGCCAAUCAAGUCGACCAGCCGAACCUAGACAACUCGGCUCGCUUUUGGUAUAAUUGAUUGAUAUUCCAAACGAAGAGAACCACCAUUGCAAUGGCAUAUAAGACAAGCAGACAUUUUACAUCAACAUCAAGACGCGAUGUUGCGCUUGAUAUAGGCGAAUAAAAGAAGACAAAUGUAGGUGACCGGGCUGUACAGGUUCAAUAGCCAUCCAUCCUCCUUUAUAUAACGCGCGCGUGUAUAUAUUAAAUGUGCCGUGUGCAACAUGCACGUGAUAUCGCUGGCUGGCACGCAUUCACUCUUGUUUCGGGCUUCCCUUGCGAUGACGCAAGCCUCGCUGUUGCACACUGGCACAUUUCGAAAGCAAGACUUUUAUCUCUGUAUCCCUCCCUUUGAAAGGAUGUGCCAUUGUCUUCUGAUAUGCGAGUGUUUGCGCGCUCUCUUCGAAUGACACGGAAGAGAAUCUCAAGUCACGGUAUGCGCGACAACGUGCAAUAUGUUUGAGUGCUGAAGACGUAUGGGGGAACGACUCUUUGUGUCUGAUAUUUUAUGUAGGCCUACCUUUCUUAUUUAAUAUCUCAGUUAUGAAAUUUUAUUUGGUGCUAAUAUUAUUAACUAUCGACGACUCAGACGAUUCAAUUUAAAAAAUUUUGUGAUAGCCUACAUUUUGGUUGAAAUAAGCUUUCCAAAACUAUUGAUGAUCUCACGUGUAGGUAGGCUAGUUUAUGUGCAGUCACGCGGCUGCUUUAUAAUAUUUUUGAUGCAUCAAUUAUUAUCUAGCAUCCCGAAUUUUUUCCUUCAUGGCUGCUGAAUUAUGCACAUUGCUCAUUGAUAAGAUUUGUGCAAUGAGAAAAAAUAUAUCCAGAAAAAUUUGUCGAAUGUCAUUCAACCCACAAAUAAAGUAGUUUGUCUUAUAAAACAUGUUCGACCACUUUUUUUUAAGGCUAGAUACUUCGCUACUUCUACUAAUGGAGAAAUAACAGAAAAAUACGAUUGAAAAGGUGCGCCAAGGUCAACAGUUGUUAACAUUUUGUAAUGAUAAUGGGCGGCCGGUAUUUAUACAAAACAAAAAGAACGGAAAAAUUCAAAAAGGUGCGCCAAACUAAAAUGUU